rnacentral:rRNA from 1 species
AUUGAACGCUGGCGGCAGGCCUAACACAUGCAAGUCGAGCGAGCGGCGGACGGGUGAGUAAUGUAUGGGGAUCUGCCUGAUGGAGGGGGAUAACUACUGGAAACGGUAGCUAAUACCGCAUACCAUCAGAUGAACCCAUAUGGGAUUAGCUAGUAGGUGAGGUAACGGCUUACCUAGGCGACGAUCCCUAGCUGGUCUGAGAGGAUGAUCGGCCACACUGGGACUGGGACACGGCCCGGACUCCUACGGGAGGCAGCAGUGGGGAAUAUUGCACAAUGAGCGCAAGCUGGAGGCAGACAUGCCGCGUGUAUAAAGAAGGCCUUCGGUUUGUAAAGUACUUUCAGUCGGGAGGCGUUACCGACAGAAGAAGCACCGGCUAACUCCGUGCCAGCAGCCGCGGUAAUAC